rnacentral:rRNA from 1 species
UACGUAGGUGGCAAGCGUUGUCUGGAAUUAUUGGGCGUAAAGCGCGCGCAGGCGGUCUUUUAAGUCUGAUGUGAAAGCCCACGGCUCAACCGUGGAGGGUCAUUGGAAACUGGGGGACUUGAGUGCAGAAGAGGAGAGUGGAAUUCCACGUGUAGCGGUGAAAUGCGUAGAGAUGUGGAGGAACACCAGUGGCGAAGGCGACUCACUGGCCCGGUACUGACGCUGAGGUGCGAAAGCGUGGGGAGCAAACAGG